rnacentral:tRNA from 1 species
GGAGCCGUGGCAGAGCGGCCCAUUGCGAUCGGCGUGAGGGAAGCCCCUCUCACGCCGACUGACGGGAGCCGGGCGGGCCUUGCCCUUCCCUGUCCGCGGGUUCGAAUCCCGCCGGCGCCG